GCGCGAGUGGCGGAAUUGGUAGACGCGCACGGUUCAGGUCCGUGUGCUGGAAACGGCGUGGGGGGUUCAAGUCCCCCCCUCGCGCACCA
rnacentral:tRNA from 1 species